rnacentral:rRNA from 1 species
AUUGAACGCUGGCGGCAGGCCUAACACAUGCAAGUCGAGCGGUAGAGAGGUGCUUGCACCUCUUGAGAGCGGCGGACGGGUGAGUAAUGCCUAGGAAUCUGCCUGGUAGUGGGGGAUAACGCCCGGAAACGGACGCUAAUACCGCAUACGUCCUACGGGAGAAAGCAGGGGACCUUCGGGCCUUGCGCUAUCAGAUGAGC